GAUGAAGAACGCAGUGAAAUGCGAUAAGUAAUGUGAAUUGCAGAAUUCAGUGAAUCAUCGAAUCUUUGAACGCACAUUGCGCCCUUUGGUAUUCCGAGGGGCACAUCUGUUCGAGCGUCAUUACAACACUCAAGCUCAGCUUGGUAUUGGGCGCCGCCCUCUGCGGGCGCGCCUCAAACUCCUCGGCGUCGCCGUCCGUCUUUAAGCGCAGCGAGAAUAACAUUCCAGCGUUCAAAGCGGGGCGUCGUCUGCCGGACAACCGCCUUCGUGCACCUUUCAAUGUUGACCUCGGAUCAGAUGGGGAUACCCGCUGAACUUAAGCAUAUCAAUAAGCGGAGGA
rnacentral:misc_RNA from 1 species